GACGAACGCUGGCGGCGUGCUUAACACAUGCAAGUCGAACGGAAAGGCCCUGCUUUUGUGGGGUGCUCGAGUGGCGAACGGGUGAGUAACACGCGAGUAACCUGCCCUUGACUUUGGGAUAACUUCAGGAAACUGGGGCUAAUACCGGAUUGGAGCUCCUGCUGCAUGGUGGGGGUUGGAAAGUUUCGGCGGUUGGGGAUGGACUCGCGGCUUAUCAGCUUGUUGGUGGGGUAGUGGCUUACCAAGGCUUUGACGGGUAGCCGGCCUGAGAGGGUGACCGGCCACAUUGGGACUGAGAUACGGCCCAGACUCCUACGGGAGGCAGCAGUGGGGAAUAUUGCACAAUGGGCGGAAGCCUGAUGCAGCAACGCCGCGUGCGGGAUGACGGCCUUCGGGUUGUAAACCGCUUUCGCCUGUGACGAAGCGUGAGUGACGGUAAUGGGUAAAGAAGCACCGGCUAACUACGUG
rnacentral:rRNA from 1 species